CGAACGGUGAAGAAGAAGCAGAGGUAGUAACGGUCCCAAUACAUCCAUAUCUCGUCGCCUGCGUUCAGCUUCCUUCUCCUCACGAAGCUCUCUCUCCAGUUGUCAUUCAAAACGUAACACCUGCUGACAGUUCACAUCUCAACGUCAACUCGUGAUCCGAACCUGUAUCCAAAUCCUUUAUUUGUACUCGCGUGCCCGCCCCGUUAUUCACUUCCUCCACCUGCUCUUCUUCUAUGAACGAGAGGGUCUUCGUGCAGCUUCAAUUCUGUCGAUAUACCGAAAUGAUCGUCGUUUUCGUUUAAUCCUCGGGGCUGAUCACGGGCGGUUGGGGCGUGGAUUCAUCCUUUCAGCUGCGGCAGCAUGGCCACGGGGAACUCUCGCCGGCAAAAAAAUCGAAGAAGGCAUCCACUUGAGAUCAGAACUUGCUUGGAAUGGAAGAAACAGAAAAUGCUGAGAAAAAUUCUUGUCCUGAAUCCUCUCUAUCUGCUGCAUCAUCUAGCCAAGAAAAUUAUCAUCUUGAUUCUGAAGUGGAAACUAGAACUGCUAAUGAAAAAUGUGGCAAUUGACCAAAAGAAUGCUGCUAUGAAAGAUCCUAAAAUUUUAAUUGUACAAGAUGCUUCUGACGGCCUGGAACUGGACCAAGAUGGACAUCUUCCGGUAGAAAACCUAGGAAGUUUAAAGGGUAAAAGGUUAAGAAAUGCUACCAGGGUAGCAAAUGCUGUUGAGAUUAAUAUUGUCCCAACACCAUCUAAUGGUUCCAUUGAAACUAGAGAAGCCAGUUCUGCUUCAAUAGAGGCUAUAAUUGUUGCCCAUAAGACACCAGAGUCCACUGAUUUUUUUUCUUUUUUGGAUAAGUAAGAGUCCACUGGUGUCUCUCAACAUGUAAAACGGGUUGAUGUACACAGAGGCCUUGUAGAUACUGCAACACCAUUUGAAUCUAUUAAAGAAGUUAUUUCUAAAUUUGGAGGAAUUAUUGAGACAAAGCCCAUAGAAUACAGACUUUUGAGGUAUGGGGUUUCUCUCGUUCUAUUUGUGUGUUGUUAACUUGUUAUUGUUGUUAUUGUUAUUUGUUGUUGAUAUUAUUCCUGAUUCAACCGAGACAGUGUAUGUUGGUUCAAUUUGGACACUAUUUUCGACAUUCUCUUUCAGGAUUUCUGUGGCAGUUCUUUUGCAUUGUUGCCUGAGAAACUUAAGUUGUCAUACUGGCGGAACUCAUGUUCAUGGUGCAUCCUGUUCACCUUAUAUCUAAAUGGUGAGUUGUAUCUACCGAAGACUUGCCUACUUUUUGAGUUAAAGAGAGCCUAGCUUAUCAUAAUAUAUAAUAUUGUUCAAAUUUUGUAUUUGUUUUGUAGUUUGGCUUGGAUACCUUUUCUAAUUAGAUUUCAGCAACUAUGCAGUAGGGCAAUCCAUAGUAGUAAUGAAUCGCAAGUUGUGUGUCAUUUUGGGUUUUGAUUGGGCUUUGUUUCCAGCAUUUGCUGGAUGCAAUGUUAAAAAUACCAUUUAUGGUUUUGUAUUGUUUUAACCAAAAAGAUUUUGGAAUGGGAAAACAAAAAAAA